UCGGAAGCCUUAGAGAUGGAGAGUCACCUCUUCUAAGGGAGGUUGCGGCUCAACUUUCAGGCUGGUACUGAGACGUUGAGCACCAAAUUGGUAACCAGUGCUGCGCUUCGAGCAAAUUUUCCCACCAGCACCGAAUCCUGGGAUAUUUAUUCUCUUUUUCACAUCCUACGAGAACCCAAUCGCGGGGGAAUAUCCUCCUGAAAACCGUACUUUGCUGAAUAAUGACUUCUUUGGAUUAGAGAACUACAACUCCCCUGGGUCCUGAGCUGGUAUUUCCCUUUUGCGGCUACACAAUAGUUAAAAACAAAGCUAAGUGUUCUGGCAUGUAUAGUUCUAGCGUUCCUUGGGUCCCGCUGGCGAGCGUGGGCUUUCUGCAGAGCGCAGCCGGCCUGUGUGCUUUGCGGACGGUUCACCGCGCUUGGAAAGGGAUUGGCCUGGGGUACAUCAUCUAAAGAUCCUAGGAUUGCUGCAGGUCAGCAGUCUCCAUUGGAAAAAAAGAUCUUGGUAAGUAAAUCAUCCUCACAUCAUACAGUUUGGAACUACACAGAGAAGGAAUCUUAGGUUUAAAAUCCUUCUGCCCAAGUGACACAUUCAGGUAGUAUGUCUACACUGGCAAAUGUUACCCAGCUAUAUCCACAGUUGCAAAACAAAGUAUCGUUUUGAAAACUUCCAACACCAUACAUUUUUAAAACUACUUACUGAUUUGUGGUGAUGACUACUUCAUACUUUCAGAGCUCACAGGCUCACCUGGGAGUGAUGGGAAUAAAAUAACAAGCUAAAGUAAAGAGCAUGUAGCUGUUCUGGUAUCGUUAGGGAGGGUGGGCUUGGCUCCUGUUUAAAUGCGUUCAAAGGAAAAAGAUGAUCACAUUAUAAAUUUCUGACUUCACUUUGACAGAAUCUAGGUGGUGUGCAUACAACAGCAGCAAGACAGUUGAUAACUCAGAAAUACCAGGAGGAGUGUGAAAUCCUCCGUAGGGAGCAAGCUGUUUCUCUUGACUACUGGCUUGCCAAAGCAGAGUCUUAUUAUAAUAAAAUAAUAUUGGAAAUGAUGAAAGAAGAGACAGGCAAUGAAAUCAAGAAAAAAAUGGAGAAGAAAACAACCCGAAACAUAGAAGGACUAAAACAGUGCCAUUUGAUACCUGAGAGAGAGGUGAAACACAUAGAAAGGCACAUACAUCAAACAGGACAGGCUGGAGAAUUUAAGAACAAAUCAUUUAGACAAGUACUGCUACCCCCCAGUGAAACAAAAUUACCAAACAUUGUGCCAGAAGGGCAUGGCAUCCAGAACGCACAGAGAAGAAAGCAGGUAAAUGACAGGGAACAGAUGCAGAUUAAGGAUCACCAGGAACGCAUGAUUCGAGGAAGAGAACUUACAGAGCAAAGACUCAAGGAAAGAAUCUUAAGAAGAAGCCAGAGCCAGCUACCUACAUAUGAGAAGCGUGAGAGAGUAAAGAAAGAGAUAAAGGAGUUUGAAAGAGUUACUGCAUAUCCGCUUUUCCAGCCAUGCAGUAGAAGUCGGAUUAAAGUGAAUAUUCUAAUGGAAAAGUCUCAGAAUGGAGAGAAAGUGAAUACAAUUGUGAAACCAUAUCAAAGAAAAUUCUUGGCCAUGCCACCCUUUUUAAGAAGUCAAAUAGGAAAAAUAAAAGAUUAAAGUUUCAGUGCUGUUAUGAUAAAAUCAUAUCUCUUAAGUGAACCCCCCGUUUUUUUUUUAAAUGUGUGUUCUCAUCUCUCCAGGGUUCAGUGAAUAUUCCCAUUUGUAUCAGACGCAGAUAGAUAGUUCUGGACUUGAAAAUUAGCUUAACUAUUUUUAGUUGACUUGCAGUUGUUCAAGUUGCAUAUCCUUUCUAGUGUUCAGUGUCCUCAUCUUUAAAAUGGCAAUAAUAAUAUUUGAUUGCAUUUGUGGAAGGACUUAUUGUGUUUGUGAAGUGUAGAUAUGUAUUAGUUGUUUCAUAAAUGUUAGUUUCCCCACUUGGGAAGACGGGGGUUGGGCGAUGGGGUGAAUAAAGAAUUACUCUAAUCUGCUUCUCUUAUUCUCCCUGCUCCCAGCCCUCCAAGGUUAUUUUGAUGAGAUUGAUAUAGUUUAAUAUAUGGUCUUUAAUAUCAUACCUUUGUCAGAUAACUACUAGCCAGGCCCUAAAAGUGUAACUUGCCCUGUACAAUUUAGUUGUAUGAGAAACUUAAUUUUGAGAGCCUCCUACAUGCUAGGCAUUGUGUUAGUUACUGAAGGUGAAUAAAGAGAAGUCUCUGCCCUUGAAUAGCUUUCAGCUAAUGGCAUAGAUCACUGUAUAAACAGAUAAUGUAGUAAAGGUUACAAUAGAAAGGUACAGGGUGCUUCGCAAAGGGCGGAUUCUAACCUGGCUUAGGUGAGCAGGGUGAAAAGGAGGAAGGUUAGGGAAGAGAGUAUAAUAGUCUCUCAUGUUUCUUCCAGCUCUUUUUGUCACUUUCUGUCACCCACUUAAGCAAGACCUUCCUAAUGUUUGGAUCCACUCAGAGGUAAUCAAACUCAUCCUUUCUCAAACUCAUGCCUUUGUCACUCAUUGAUAAAUCAGAAAGCAAAUUUAUAAAUUUAGUGAGAAUUACAGUUGUCAAGCAGAAUGAAAUUUAUGUUUUUUAGUCAGUUUGUUUUCUUUCCAGAUACUAGAAAAUUGGGAAAGCAGGGGUUCAGAGUUGGCAAGCAGAGAAGCAAAUAAAUGGAAAUGGAUGCUCUCAGGAAUCUUAUUCUUAAGUUGUGAUAAUUCUGAUGCCCACCUUGCUUUACUAGCAGAACACCCUUUAGCCUGGAUAUUGCUAGGUCAGCCACUGAUAGAAAUGUUCUAUGUCUGUGCUUCUCAGUACUGUAGCCCUUGCUACAAGUGGCUGUUGAGGCAUUCAAAAUGUGGCUAGUGCAGCUGUAGAAUGGAAUGUUUAAUUGAAUUUCAUUUAAAUUUAAAUUGCCACAUGUGGCAAGUGACUGCCCUGUUGUACAGUGCAGCACUGGAUAAACAUAACUCCUGUCUUCUAGACUCCAGUCCCACCAUUAGCUUUCUGUUUUUGACAGUGUUUGCUGGUAUGAUAGGUCACUGCUCAUUUUACAUUACUAUCAGUUUAGUUUCCUUUGUAUUUCAGAGGCUCCCUAAUCCCUUAAAGAGAUUUAAAAAUCAAUGUAAAUCACUUCUGUGUGAAGAUAAGGUGGCUGAAUUUGCUUUGAUUGGAAUUAGGAACUGGCCCUCUCUUUGCUAGUUCUGGAAUUUGGCCAGGAUGCACAUCAAAAUCUCAUUCCUACCCUCCUGAUUUGCCUCAUGCAAACUUUGUUGCUGUGUCUGUUCUCUGGUCUUCUAUUGCUAUGUCUCAGCUUUAGAUUCUAUGUCUUGCAUAGAAACAGAUCAUCAGAAUGCAACAGACGGAAGACUUAGAAGUGCCAAUCAGUAGGGUAAUGACAAACCCUUUGAGCUGAGUGGGAUUGAAAAGUAACCUAACACAUAACCUAUUAGUAAUUGUUCACCUUGAAGAUUUUCAGUGCUGGACACAUAAAUUGCUGAGUUCAACUGCCGUCUUUCCCCUCCAAAUCUAGCAUAAAAGCAACUGGUGAUCUCAGGGCAAUUUCAUACAUAAUAUGACUAAGAAUAAAAAUCUGUGUUUCAGGAGCUCACUUUGUCCAAACCUGAACCCAUCAAAUUAUAUCCACCUUUUCAUUUCCUUGCACUGUGUCUGCUUAAAUCUUGAGUCACACUUAACGCUUUUUUUUUUUUUGGUCUUUUUUCUUUUUAAUGUGAAAUA